rnacentral:lncRNA from 7 species
UGAGAGGACAGGAUUCUGGUUCUUAUCAAAUGGCUUCAAAGUUACAGAAGUGGACACCUCGGAACUGCAAAUCAAAGGGCAGCAAGCUUCAGCCCACCUAGUGGUGCUUAAUAGCUGUGGCCUUCAUCUAAAUUAGUCUGGGAUCUCAUUACAGUCAAUGGAGGCCCCAGUUCAUCACCAUUACAAGCAGUUGUUGCAUCAUUUCAGCCUCACCAGCAUGUGCAAGCUCACAACUCCAGAAGGACCUUGCCGAGGAUGACUCCACCAGCACAAUCCACCAAUCUAUCACCUCCCAGAAUCCCACAUGAGAAGCCUGGAGAUCAGACAGGGAACUACAAAUCCCAUGGCUGUGCUGGAGCCCCAGGAGGACAGAGGAUGGAGAAGAGGACAUUAGAGACAGGGUGGGGACCAGGGAGCCUGGGCCAGAUGAAUGCUUCAGUAUGCUUGGAAGUGUCGGUGAAGCAAAUGGAGUGUUUCUAACACAGUCCUGAGCAUUGAAAAAUAGUGCUUAAAUUGCCUCCAGAACCAACGUGAAAUCUGAAGAUUUGGGAAUAUCUCUUGUGACUGAUUGAGUGACUGAUUGAUUUGCUGAUAUGUGUGCUGUACGUGUGCGUUAGGGCUUGAUUCAGCUGUCCAAACACGGUUUCCUUGAGCCAAGCUGGAUGCUAGAGGCUCCUAGACUCCAGCUCUUGCUUCUGAAUAGCACUCAUCUGCCCUCGAAUGUGUCACUUUGUCAGCCCCGUGGGAUGCCUCAGAUGCACAAGGGCAUCUUGGAUGGCACCAGGCUCUGUGCGUGGGCAGCCGAAUCCCACCCUCUGAGUCAGAAAGAUUGCAUUCUCAAGGUUUUCUCUACAGUCGCUGGGAUCAGAACUUUACCUUCAAAAUAAAUAACAUCCGAAG